GACGAACGCUGGCGGCGGGCCUAAUACAUGCAAGUAGAACGCAGUUGCGAACGGGGGAGUAACGCGUAGGUAACUGCCUCAUACCGGGGGAUAACCAAUGGAAACGAUAGCUAAUACCGCAUACUGUGAGAGGGACCUGCGUUGUAUUAGCUAGUUGGUGAGGUAAAGGCCCACCAAGGCGACGAUACAUAGCCGACCUGAGAGGGCGAUCGGCCCCGCUGGGACUGACACCGGGACCAGACGCCGUCGGGAGGCAGCAGUAGGGAAUUUUCGGCCAUGGGCGGAAGUCUUACCGAGCCCCGCCGCGUCAGUGAAGAAGGUUUUCGGAUCGUAACGCUCUGUUGUUAGAGACGCGGUAACUAACCAGAAAGGGACGGCUAACUUCGAGGCCGCCGCCGCGGUAAUUC
rnacentral:rRNA from 1 species